rnacentral:rRNA from 1 species
UACGAAGGGGGCUAGCGUUGUUCGGAUUUACUGGGCGUAAAGCGCACGUAGGCGGAUCGUUAAGUCGGGGGUGAAAUCCUGGAGCUCAACUCCAGAACUGCCUUCGAUACUGGCGAUCUCGAGUCCGGAAGAGGUGAGUGGAACUCCUAGUGUAGAGGUGGAAUUCAUAGAUAUUAGGAAGAACACCAGUGGCGAAGGCGGCUCACUGGUCCGGUACUGACGCUGAGGUGCGAAAGCGUGGGGAGCAAACAGG